AGAGUUUGAUCCUGGCUCAGAUUGAACGCUGGCGGUAGGCUUAACACAUGCAAGUCGUGCGAGAAAGUAUCUUCGGAUAUGAGUAGAGCGGCGGACGGGUGAGUAACGCGUAGGAAUCUACCUAGUAGAAGGGGAUAGCCCGAGGAAACUCGGAUUAAUACCGUAUACCUCCUUCGGGAGAAAGAAGGCCUCUCUUUGAAGCUUUCGCUACUAGAUGAGCCUGCGUAAGAUUAGCUUGUUGGUGAGGUAAAGGCUCACCAAGGCUACGAUCUUUAGCGGGUCUGAGAGGACGAUCCGCCACAUUGGGACUGAGACACGGCCCAGACUCCUACGGGAGGCAGCAGUGGGGAAUAUUGGACAAUGGGCGAAAGCCUGAUCCAGCCAUACCGCGUGUGUGAAGAAGGCCUUAGGGUUGUAAAGCACUUUAAGUUGGGAAGAAAAGUUAUUGGCUAAUACCCAAUAACCGUGACAUUACCAUCAGAAUAAGGACCGGCUAAUUCCGUGCCAGCAGCCGCGGUAAUACGGAAGGUCCAAGCGUUAAUCGGAAUUACUGGGCGUAAAGCGCGCGUAGGUGGUUUAUUAAGUUGGAUGUGAAAUCCCCGGGCUCAACCUGGGAACUGCAUCCAAAACUGAUUCACUAGAGUACGAUAGAGGGAGGUAGAAUUCACAGUGUAGCGGUGGAAUGCGUAGAUAUUGUGAAGAAUACCAAUGGCGAAGGCAGCCUCCUGGAUCUGUACUGACACUGAGGUGCGAAAGCGUGGGUAGCGAACAGGAUUAGAUAC
rnacentral:rRNA from 1 species